AUGGCGCGGUUCGACCCGUGGCCGGUGUUCUUCCGGAGGGAGUGGGCCCGCACCUGGCCCUUCCUGGCGGGCUUCGCCGUCACCGGCGCCCUCGUCACCAAGCUCACCGCUGGGUUCACCGAGGAGGACCUCAGGGCCUCCAAGUUCGUCCAGGCGCACAGGCGCUGA
rnacentral:rRNA from 1 species